CUGAGUGUAAUGUCAGUCCGGUUAGACGGCCUGCUUUGGAAGCAGGAGGCCGAAGGUUCAAAUCCUUCCACUCAGACCA
rnacentral:tRNA from 1 species